CAGUGCUAGGCUUAAAGAGUGGUGUCCAGGCUACGGCCGGCCCAUCGCCCUGUGUUUUGUUUCUCCCAUUUUUACACUGUUUAAGUGGCUCGAAUCGGUUCUACCGGUUCGUUCCAUUGCCUCAACAUGCACCCGGUCUUGCAAUCGGACUGUAUGUGCAGUCGCCUGGCGGUGCCUUAUCCCGGGCUGGACUGAGAAACUAUCUCGGGUUUUCGGUCAUGUGCCGGAUUCUCGGGUUUUGUACAACUCUGAUCGGUGGAUCACUCGGCUCGUG
rnacentral:rRNA from 1 species